rnacentral:rRNA from 1 species
UACGUAGGGGGCUAGCGUUGUCCGGAUUCAUUGGGCGUAAAGAGCGUGUAGGCGGCCAGGUAGGUCCGCUGUGAAAACUCGAGGCUCAACCUCGAGAUGUCGGCGGAAACCAUCUGGCUAGAGUCCGGAAGAGGAGAGUGGAAUUCCCGGUGUAGUGGUGAAAUGCGCAGAUAUCGGGAAGAACACCAGUGGCGAAGGCGGCUCACUGGUCCGGUACUGACGCUGAGGUGCGAAAGCGUGGGGAGCAAACAGG